rnacentral:lncRNA from 1 species
UUGAGUAACAUAUACAAUUCAAGGUGAAUAUUUUAGUAUUCAUGUCCAUUUGUAUUGCAUAAUUAUUUUUUUUUUGUUUUAUUUUUAAUGGAUAUUAAACUUUUCAUGAUGGACAAUCCUUGACUAGCUAGCUCCAAAUUCGAUGGAUUCACAACUUAAUAAAACCCGAAUUUGAUGAAAUAUAAUAUGAGCUCUAUGAAUUCGUGACCCAAUGAGCAUGUGAUAUGAUGAUUUUUAACUUUGAAAACUCGUGACCCGACACACCCACAACCUAUGUAACCCCAAUUGUGACCCGUCAUGCUCCUGUUUGAUAGAUUUAAGUACCCAAAAUACGUUUGCUGAGUCGAUAGAAUAAGCAAACUCGAAGAGCUAACUUUAUCAUAUAUAUUUUUUAGUUUAGUGAAGCAUUUUUGAAAAGAAUUUGUUGCCACUCG